rnacentral:rRNA from 1 species
GACGAACGCUGGCGGCAUGCCUAACACAUGCAAGUCGAACGGUAAGGCUUCCUUCGGGAAGUACACGAGUGGCGAACGGGUGAGUGACACGUGGGUAACCUACCCUUGACUGGGGGACAACCGAGGGAAACUUCGGCUAAUACCGCAUAACGUGCAUUGCCACAAGGAGGUGUACCAAAGCGCCGGCGGUUAAGGAUGGGCCCGCGGCAGAUUAGCGUGUUGGUGAGGGAACGGCUUAACAACGCGACGAUCUGUAGCUGGUCUGAGAGGACGAUCAGCCACACUGGAACUGAGACACGGUCCAGACUCCUACGGGAGGCAGCAGUGGGGAAUCUUGCGCAAUGGGCGAAAGCCUGACGCAGCAAUGCCGCGUCAGGGAAGACGGCCUUAGGGUUGUAAACCUCUUUCAGCAGGGACGAACACAGACGGUACCUGCAGAAGAAGCCCCGGCUAACUACGUGCCAGCCGCCGCCGUAA